rnacentral:rRNA from 1 species
GAUUAAGUUAUUAAGGGCGCACGGUGGAUGCCUUGGCACUAGAAGCCGACGAAGGACGUUACUAACGACGAUAUGCUUUGGGUAGCUGUAAGUAAGCGUUGAUCCAGAGAUUUCCGAAUGGGGGAACCCAGCACGAGUUAUGUCGUGUUAUCGACAAGUGAAUUCAUAGCUUGUCAGAAGGCAGACCCGGAGAACUGAAACAUCUUAGUACCCGGAGGAAGAGAAAGAAAAAUCGAUUCCCUGAGUAGCGGCGAGCGAAACGGGAAGAGCCCAAACCAAUAAGCUUGCUUAUUGGGGUUGUAGGACACUCUAUACGGAGUUACAAAGGAAUAUAUUAGACGAAUCAUCUGGAAAGUUGAAUCAAAGAAGGUAAUAAUCCUGUAGUUGAAAAUAUAUUCUCUCUUGAGUGGAUCCUGAGUACGACGGAGCACGUGAAAUUCCGUCGGAAUCUGGGAGGACCAUCUCCUAAGGCUAAAUACUCUCUAGUGACCGAUAGUGAACCAGUACCGUGAGGGAAAGGUGAAAAGUACCCCGGAAGGGGAGUGAAAGAGAACUUGAAACCGUGUGCUUACAAGUAGUCAGAGCCCGUUAAUGGGUGAUGGCGUGCCUUUUGUAGAAUGAACCGGCGAGUUACGAUCUGAUGCAAGGUUAAGCAGGAGAUGUGGAGCCGUAGCGAAAGCGAGUCUGAAUAGGGCGUUGAGUAUUUGGUCGUAGACCCGAAACCAGGUGAUCUACCCAUGGUCAGGUUGAAGUUCAGGUAACACUGAAUGGAGGACCGAACCGACUUACGUUGAAAAGUGAGCGGAUGAACUGUGGGUAGCGGAGAAAUUCCAAUCGAACUUGGAGAUAGCUGGUUCUCUCCGAAAUAGCUUUAGGGCUAGCCUCAAGUGAUGAUUAUUGGAGGUAGAGCACUGUUUGGACGAGGGGCCCCUCUCGGGUUACCGAAUUCAGACAAACUCCGAAUGCCAAUUAAUUUAACUUGGGAGUCAGAACAUGGGUGAUAAGGUCCGUGUUCGAAAGGGAAACAGCCCAGACCACCAGCUAAGGUCCCAAAAUAUAUGUUAAGUGGAAAAGGAUGUGGCGUUGCCCAGACAACUAGGAUGUUGGCUUAGAAGCAGCCAUCAUUUAAAGAGUGCGUAAUAGCUCACUAGUCGAGUGACACUGCGCCGAAAAUGUACCGGGGCUAAACAUAUUACCGAAGCUGUGGAUUGUCCGUAGGACAAUGGUAGGAGAGCGUUCUAAGGGCGUUGAAGCAUGAUCGCAAGGACAUGUGGAGCGCUUAGAAGUGAGAAUGCCGGUGUGAGUAGCGAAAGACGGGUGAGAAUCCCGUCCACCGAUUGACUAAGGUUUCCAGAGGAAGGCUCGUCCGCUCUGGGUUAGUCGGGUCCUAAGCUGAGGCCGACAGGCGUAGGCGAUGGAUAACAGGUUGAUAUUCCUGUACCACCUAGCAUCGUUUUAAUCGAUGGGGGGACGCAGUAGGAUAGGCGAAGCGUACGAUUGGAUUGUACGUCCAAGCAGUGAGAUUGAGUGUUAGGCAAAUCCGGCACUCUUAAGAUUGAGCUGUGAUGGGGAGAGGAAAUUGUUUCCUCGAGUCGUUGAUUUCACACUGCCGAGAAAAGCCUCUAGAUAGAUAAUAGGUGCCCGUACCGCAAACCGACACAGGUAGUCAAGAUGAGAAUUCUAAGGUGAGCGAGCGAACUCUCGUUAAGGAACUCGGCAAAAUGACCCCGUAACUUCGGGAGAAGGGGUGCUCUUUAGGGUGCAAGCCCAGAAGAGCCGCAGUGAAUAGGCCCAAGCGACUGUUUAUCAAAAACACAGGUCUCUGCUAAACCGUAAGGUGAUGUAUAGGGGCUGACGCCUGCCCGGUGCUGGAAGGUUAAGAGGAGUGGUUAGCUUCUGCGAAGCUACGAAUCGAAGCCCCAGUAAACGGCGGCCGUAACUAUAACGGUCCUAAGGUAGCGAAAUUCCUUGUCGGGUAAGUUCCGACCCGCACGAAAGGCGUAACGAUUUGGGCACUGUCUCAACGAGAGACUCGGUGAAAUCAUAGUACCUGUGAAGAUGCAGGUUACCCGCGACAGGACGGAAAGACCCCGUGGAGCUUUACUGUAGCCUGAUAUUGAAAUUCGGCACAGCUUGUACAGGAUAGGUAGGAGCCUUUGAAACGUGAGCGCUAGCUUACGUGGAGGCGCUGGUGGGAUACUACCCUAGCUGUGUUGGCUUUCUAACCCGCACCACUUAUCGUGGUGGGAGACAGUGUCAGGCGGGCAGUUUGACUGGGGCGGUCGCCUCCUAAAAGGUAACGGAGGCGCUCAAAGGUUCCCUCAGAAUGGUUGGAAAUCAUUCAUAGAGUGUAAAGGCAUAAGGGAGCUUGACUGCGAGACCUACAAGUCGAGCAGGGUCGAAAGACGGACUUAGUGAUCCGGUGGUUCCGCAUGGAAGGGCCAUCGCUCAACGGAUAAAAGCUACCCCGGGGAUAACAGGCUUAUCUCCCCCAAGAGUUCACAUCGACGGGGAGGUUUGGCACCUCGAUGUCGGCUCAUCGCAUCCUGGGGCUGUAGUCGGUCCCAAGGGUUGGGCUGUUCGCCCAUUAAAGCGGUACGCGAGCUGGGUUCAGAACGUCGUGAGACAGUUCGGUCCCUAUCCGUCGUGGGCGUAGGAAAUUUGAGAGGAGCUGUCCUUAGUACGAGAGGACCGGGAUGGACAUACCUCUGGUGUACCAGUUGUCGUGCCAACGGCAUAGCUGGGUAGCUAUGUAUGGACGGGAUAAGUGCUGAAAGCAUCUAAGCAUGAAGCCCCCCUCAAGAUGAGAUUUCCCAACUUCGGUUAUAAGAUCCCUCAAAGAUGAUGAGGUUAAUAGGUUCGAGGUGGAAGCGUGGUGACACGUGGAGCUGACGAAUACUAAUCGAUCGAAGACUUAAUCAA